AGAAAGGGAGAUAAGAAAGUCUCCCAUAGAAGAAAAAGUGAAGAAGAAGAGAAGAAAUCAAAUGGGAGAAAAUGAAGAUGGAAGCUCUCUUGAAAUGGAGAUUUAAUAUUCAAGAAGAGGUUGUGAAAGCAUGGUAAAGUAAAGCAAAUGGUGGAAUGGCAUGUGGGAGGAUGGAAAGAAGAUUCAAGUGCAUGUUAUGGCCUAUGGAAGCCUAUGUUGUUAUGUUUGAUUUAUGAGAUGUAAACUUGUUUGGUUGGUGAUGGCUUAUUCAAGCCUAAGAUCAUGUAUGUAAUUUAUAUUUUAGGAUGUUUGAUUUUAUUGUGAAAUGAGGCAUUGGCUUAAGGCAUAUUGAAGCCUAGGUUGGGUGAAAGCCUCA